UACGUAGGGUGCAGGCGUUAAUCGGAAUUACUGGGCGUAAAGCGUGCGCAGGCGGUCGAUUAAGACAGGUGUGAAAUCCCCGGGCUUAACCUGGGAACUGCGCUUGUUACUGAUAGGCUUGAGUGUGGCAGAGGGGGGUGGAAUUCCACGUGUAGCAGUGAAAUGCGUAGAGAUGUGGAGGAACACCGAUGGCGAAGGCAGCCCCCUGGGCUAACACUGACGCUCAUGCACGAAAGCGUGGGGAGCAAACAGG
rnacentral:rRNA from 1 species